UUUAUUUUAUUUUUUAAAUUCUUUAUUUUUGCAGUGCAAAUGCAUGUUACAGUCGCAUGUGAGGUACCCCAACGGCAAUCCUCUAGCGUGUUGUAGUUAUUUGUAACAUUGAGGUAUAUGAGAAAGCAUGCACACUUUUUUUAUAAUAAUGUAGAGGUUAACAAGAGUAGCAUCGUCUAGUUACUAUAUAUUACAGGUGUCUUGUAUUGCCACGGCAGCAGGUACUAGCU